rnacentral:tRNA from 1 species
UGCCCUGUAGUGUAUCGGCAACACACAAGACUUUGGUUCUUGGACGAUAGGUUCGACUCCUGUCAGGGUAACAA